rnacentral:pre_miRNA from 1 species
GGCCCAAAUUCAGAGUAGAGUAGAUAAGAAGGAUCAUUUGACCUUACUGAACUACUCUACUUCGAGGUUUGUGCCC